rnacentral:rRNA from 1 species
GACGAACGCUGGCGGUGUGCUUAACACAUGCAAGUCGAACGGUAAGGCCCUUUCGGGGGUACACGAGUGGCGAACGGGUGAGUAACACGUGAGUAACCUGCCCUCAUCUCUGGGAUAACAGUCGGAAACGGUUGCUAAUACUGGAUAUGAGCUUGCAAGGCAUCUUGUGGGUUGGAAAGAUUUUUUUGGUUGGGGAUGGACUCGCGGCCUAUCAGCUUGUUGGUGAGGUAGUGGCUCACCAAGGCUUCGACGGGUAGCCGGCCUGAGAGGGCGACCGGCCACAUUGGGACUGAGAUACGGCCCAAACUCCUACGGGAGGCAGCAGUGGGGAAUAUUGCACAAGGGACGGAAGUCUGAUGCAGCAACGCCGCGUGCGGGAUGACGGCCUUCGGGUUGUAAACCGCUUUCAAUUGUGACGAAGCUUUUUGUGACGGUAGCAGUAGAAGAAGCACCGGCUAACUACGUG